rnacentral:rRNA from 1 species
GGAGGAAAGCAGGGGAUCGAAAGACCUUAUGCUUUUGGAGCGGCCGAUGUCUGAUUAGCUAGUUGGUGAGGUAAAUGCUUACCAAGGCGACGAUCAGUAGUUGGUCUGAGAGGACGACCAGCCACACUGGGACUGAGACACGGCCCAGACUCCUACGGGAGGCAGCAGUGGGGAAUUUUGGACAAUGGGGGAAACCCUGAUCCAGCCAUGCCGCGUGAGUGAAGAAGGCCUUCGGGUUGUAAAGCUCUUUCAGCCGGAACGAAAAGGUUACGGCUAAUACCCGUGACAAAUGACGGUACCGGAAGAAGAAGUACCGGCUAACUACGUGCCAGCAGCCGCGGUAAUACGUAGGGUGCAAGCGUUAAUCGGAAUUACUGGGCGUAAAGCGUGCGCAGGCGGUUUUGUAAGUCAGAUGUGAAAUCCCCGGGCUUAACCUGGGAAUUUUCUUUGAAACUACAAAGCUAG